rnacentral:rRNA from 1 species
UACGUAGGGGGGCUAGCGUUGUCCGGAUUUAUUGGGCGUAAAGAGCGUGUAGGCGGCCGAGUAAGUCCGGUGUGAAAACUCGAGGCUCAACCUCGAGACGUCGGCGGAAACCAUCUGGCUAGAGUCCGGAAGAGGAGAGUGGAAUUCCUGGUGUAGCGGUGAAAUGCGCAGAUAUCAGGAAGAACACCCGUGGCGAAGGCGGCUCUCUGGGACGGUACUGACGCUGAGACGCGAAAGCGUGGGGAGCGAACAGG